CCCCGCAGGCCUCUCUGGAAUGUGGCUGGGGAGCCUCUGCUGCGGUGCAUUUUUAUUAUCUGCAGUUCAUUUGCUCUGUUUGGAGAGGUGGCGCGAGGCCGAGAACAUCAGCAAUAGGAUUUCUUUGCACAAGGAGAAGAAGAGAGGCAUCCGGAUCGGAGGAGACGGAGGUGAAAUCUAAGAUGGAGAGGAGAUAAAGUUGAGCUGGAAGGGAUCCUGCGCUAUGGCCCUGGUUCCUCCUCCUUCACCAAGGACUUUGGCCUGAACUCUGCUCUUGUCCUUCUUGGCAUCUGCCUUAAAUCACAGAAAAGGACCUCUGUAAAGCCAUUUUCUCCUGCAUGAAUCGCAAAUAGUGCAGUGCUAGAAUGGCCUAGAACCAUCCAGAUAUUCACCCCCUCCUGACUGGAUGUGGCAAAACCCUAUGGCCUAGUGAGAGGGGUCAGGAGAUAAUGCCGGAUGAGUUUCUGGCUCUGAUGCCACUACCUUUUUCCUCACCUCAUGUGUUUUUUAACAACUUGACUUGAGCUGUGGUCAUCUGGGAAGAAGGACCCUAAAUUGGAGGAAAUGCCUCCAUUAAAUUAGCUUGGAGGCAAGACCUUGGAGACUUAUUCUAGAUUAUUGAUCGAUGUGGUAGGCCAGCCCUGGCCAGGUGGUCCUGGGUUGUGUAAGAAAACGGGCCCAGCAAACCUGUAAGCAUGAGGAGCAAACCUGUAAGCAGUUUUCACCAUAGCCUCUGGCUCAGUGCCCUGAGUUCCUGCUCUGACUUCCCUUCAUGACGGACUGCGAUCAGAGCCUGUAAGCUAAAUAAAUCCUUUCCUCAAGUUGCUUUUGGUUAUGAUUCUUUUUUAUCACAGCACUAGAAAGCAAAUUAGCAUACUUGCCCUGCGCAAGAGCAAGGAAU
ensembl:lincRNA